CCUACGGGAGGCAGCAGUCGCGAAUCUUCCGCAAUGGUCGAAAGACUGACGGAGCGACGCCGCGUGUGGGAUGAAGGCCUUCGGGUUGUAAACCACUGUCACGCGUUAGGAACACCCGUUAGAUAAUAUCAAGCGGGAUGACGAAGGCGCGAGAGGAAGGACACGGCUAACUCCUGUUUUCAGCAGCCG
rnacentral:rRNA from 1 species